CGACUUGGAGGUUGUUCCCUUGAGGAGUGGCUUCCGGAGCUAACGCGUUAAGUCGACCGCCUGGGGAGUACGGCCGCAAGGUUAAAACUCAAAUGAAUUGACGGGGGCCCGCACAAGCGGUGGAGCAUGUGGUUUAAUUCGAUGCAACGCGAAGAACCUUACCUACUCUUGACAUCCAGAGAACUUAGCAGAGAUGCUUUGGUGCCUUCGGGAACUCUGAGACAGGUGCUGCAUGGCUGUCGUCAGCUCGUGUUGUGAAAUGUUGGGUUAAGUCCCGCAACGAGCGCAACCCUUAUCCUUUGUUGCCAGCGAUUCGGUCGGGAACUCAAAGGAGACUGCCGGUGAUAAACCGGAGGAAGGUGGGGAUGACGUCAAGUCAUCAUGGCCCUUACGAGUAGGGCUACACACGUGCUACAAUGGCGCAUACAAAGAGAAGCGACCUCGCGAGAGCAAGCGGACCUCACAAAGUGCGUCGUAGUCCGGAUCGGAGUCUGCAACUCGACUCCGUGAAGUCGGAAUCGCUAGUAAUCGUGGAUCAGAAUGCCACGGUGAAUACGUUCCCGGGCCUUGUACACACCGCCCGUCACACCAUGGGAGUGGGUUGCAAAAGAAGUAGGUAGCUUAACCUUCGGGAGGGCGCUUACCACUUUGUGAUUCAUGACUGGGGUGAAGUCGUAACAAGGUAAC
rnacentral:rRNA from 1 species